CCUUUCGUGGUGUAAUUGGUAGUACAUCCAGCUAGUUAUCGGAAGGUCAAGGGUUCGAAUCCCUGCGAAGGUA
rnacentral:tRNA from 1 species